rnacentral:lncRNA from 1 species
UCUAAUUAAAGUUACCUAAAACAUGCUUAGAGAGGGAUGUUGGUGUCUUCUUUUUUAUUUUUUUUAUUUUUUUAGGGGUGGGGGUGGGGUGGGGGGGUCUUCACGACAUUUUUUGGUCUUUUUCCCAAACAUUAUUUUCCACUAGUUCUAUAAAAUCAUUGACCCCUUUUUCUUCGAAAUUUCUCUUGAUUCACAUAAAUUGAUUCGGUGUAAUGGGAUGGGAUGAAAUUUCACUAAAGAAACUGCGUAUUCCAUUACAUAUUGAGGGAAAAUUCCCUACUAAAAUGUCAUUUCAUCAAAAAGC